AGCUACAGGCUUAACACAUGCAAGUCGAGGGGCAUCAGGAAGAAAGCUUGCUUUCUUUGCUGGCGACCGGCGCACGGGUGAGUAACACGUAUCCAACCUGCCCUUUACUCGGGGAUAGCCUUUCGAAAGAAAGAUUAAUACCCGAUAGCAUAAUGAUUCCGCAUGGUUUCAUUAUUAAAGGAUUCCGGUAAAGGAUGGGGAUGCGUUCCAUUAGGUUGUUGGUGAGGUAACGGCCCACCAAGCCUUCGAUGGAUAGGGGUUCUGAGAGGAAGGUCCCCCACAUUGGAACUGAGACACGGUCCAAACUCCUACGGGAGGCAGCAGUGAGGAAUAUUGGUCAAUGGGCGCUAGCCUGAACCAGCCAAGUAGCGUGAAGGAUGAAGGCUCUAUGGGUCGUAAACUUCUUUUAUAUAAGAAUAAAGUGCAGUAUGUAUACUGUUUUGUAUGCAUUAUAUGAAUAAGGAUCGGCUAACUCCAUGCCAGCAGCCGCGGUAAUACGGAGGAUCCGAGCGUUAUCCGGAUUUAUUGGGUUUAAAGGGAGCGUAGGUGGACUGGUAAGUCAGUUGUGAAAGUUUGCGGCUCAACCGUAAAAUUGCAGUUGAUACUGUCAGUCUUGAGUACAGUAGAGGUGGGCGGAAUUCGUGGUGUAGCGGUGAAAUGCUUAGAUAUCACGAAGAACUCCGAUUGCGAAGGCAGCUCACUGGACUGCAACUGACACUGAUGCUCGAAAGUGUGGGUAUCAAACAGGAUUAGAUACCCUGGUAGUCCACACAGUAAACGAUGAAUACUCGCUGUUUGCGAUAUACAGUAAGCGGCCAAGCGAAAGCAUUAAGUAUUCCACCUGGGGAGUACGCCGGCAACGGUGAAACUCAAAGGAAUUGACGGGGGCCCGCACAAGCGGAGGAACAUGUGGUUUAAUUCGAUGAUACGCGAGGAACCUUACCCGGGCUUAAAUUGCAGUGGAAUGAUGUGGAAACAUGUCAGUGAGCAAUCACCGCUGUGAAGGUGCUGCAUGGUUGUCGUCAGCUCGUGCCGUGAGGUGUCGGCUUAAGUGCCAUAACGAGCGCAACCCUUAUCUUUAGUUACUAACAGGUUAUGCUGAGGACUCUAGAGAGACUGCCGUCGUAAGAUGUGAGGAAGGUGGGGAUGACGUCAAAUCAGCACGGCCCUUACGUCCGGGGCUACACACGUGUUACAAUGGGGGGUACAGAAGGCAGCUAGCGGGUGACCGUAUGCUAAUCCCAAAAUCCUCUCUCAGUUCGGAUCGAAGUCUGCAACCCGACUUCGUGAAGCUGGAUUCGCUAGUAAUCGCGCAUCAGCCACGGCGCGGUGAAUACGUUCCCGGGCCUUGUACACACCGCCCGUCAAGCCAUGGGAGCCGGGGGUACCUGAAGUACGUAACCGCAAGGAUCGUCCUAGGGUAAAACUGGUGACUGG
rnacentral:rRNA from 1 species